AUGAACGCUGGCGGCGUGCCUAAUACAUGCAAGUCGAGCGAACAGACGAGGAGCUUGCUCCUCUGACGUUAGCGGCGGACGGGUGAGUAACACGUGGAUAACCUACCUAUAAGACUGGGAUAACUUCGGGAAACCGGAGCUAAUACCGGAUAAUAUAUUGAACCGCAUGGUUCAAUAGUGAAAGACGGUUUUGCUGUUACUUAUAGAUGGAUCCGCGCCGCAUUAGCUAGUUUGUAAGGUAACGGCUUACCAAGGCAACGAUGCGUAGCCGACCUGAGAGGGUGAUCGGCCACACUGGAACUGAGACACGGUCCAGACUCCUACGGGAGGCAGCAGUAGGGAAUCUUCCGCAAAGGGCGAAAGCCUGACGGAGCAACGCCGCGUGAGUGAUGAAGGUCUUCGGAUCGUAAAACUCUGUUAUUAGGGAAGAACAAAUGUGUAAGUAACUAUGCACGUCUUGACGGUACCUAAUCAGAAAGCCACGGCUAACUACGUG
rnacentral:rRNA from 1 species